rnacentral:rRNA from 1 species
AGUGAACGCUGGCGGUAGGCCUAACACAUGCAAGUCGAACGGCAGCACAGUAAGAGCUUGCUCUUACGGGUGGCGAGUGGCGGACGGGUGAGGAAUACAUCGGAAUCUACUUUUUCGUGGGGGAUAACGUAGGGAAACUUACGCUAAUACCGCAUACGACCUACGGGUGAAAGCAGGGGAUCUUCGGACCUUGCGCGAUUGAAUGAGCCGAUGUCGGAUUAGCUAGUUGGCGGGGUAAAGGCCCACCAAGGCGACGAUCCGUAACUGGUCUGAGAAGAUGAUCAGCCACACUGGAACUGAGACACGGUCCAGACUCCUACGGGAGGCAGCAGUGGGGAAUAUUGGACAAUGGGCGCAAGCCUGAUCCAGCCAUACCGCGUGGGUGAAGAAGGCCUUCGGGUUGUAAAACCCUUUUGUUGGGAAAGAAAAGCAGCAGGUUAAUACCCCGCUGUUCUGACGGUACCCAGAGAAUAAGCACCGGCUAACUUCGUG